rnacentral:lncRNA from 1 species
GGGACCUAAAGAAUGUGUGGACAUACUUUCCCUGAGGCCCUUCCUGGAAGGUGGAGUUCUUGGGUCUUUUCCCCCCAUUGAUUUAGGGCAACUUGUCAGGGCAGGGCCCUGCUGCUUCCAAAACUGCUUGGAAGGAAAUAGCCUCAGAUCAGUGAUGCCCCACGGGAAGGGAGGCUCUUGGCAGGACCUCACCUCUUCAGAGACUGGCACCUUUCCUGGUCUGCUCAGAAGAAGGAGACGGAAUGCUUGUCUUUAUGGCCAAUUAGGCUGACUCUGGAAGGCUCACAGUUCUAUCCCAAAGGACUUAUCAGGCAGCCUGGGAAACAACUUGUACUUUGGUGGACAAUUUCCAGGCAGGAUGAAGCCCUCACAACCUGGCUCCAACCUACCUUUCCAUGAUCAUUACUCAUUGCUCUUUGCCAUGUUCUCCUGCCAUAUUGAUUGAUUUGAUUUUUACUAGGAAAAUUCUGCCUGGCAGUCUAACUUGCUUGGUGCCAAAAGCAAGCCUGGUCCCCUACAUUCUAUGUACACCAGAGUAAGAGAUGGAAGGAAAGGAAGGAAGGAAGGAAGGAAGGAAGGAAGGAAGGAAGGAAGGAAGGAAGGAAGGAAGGAAAGAAAGAAAGAAAGAAAGAAAGAAAGAAAGAAAGAAAGAAAGAAAGAAAGAAAGAAAGAAAGAAAGAAAGAAAGAAAGAAAGAAAGAAAGAAAGAAAGAAAGAAAGAAAGAAAGAAAGAAAGAAAGAAAGAAAGAAAGAAAGAAAGAAAGGAAGAAAGAAAGAAAGAAAGAAAGAAAGAAAGAAAGGAAGAAAGAAAGGAAGAAAGAAAGGAAGAAAGAAAGGAAGGAAGAAAGGAAGGAAGGAAGGAAGGAAGGAAGGAAAGGAAAGGAAAGGAAAGGAAAGGAAAGGAAAGGUAAGGAAAGGAAAGGAAAGGAAAGGAAAGGAAAGGAAAGGAAAGGAAAGGAAAGGAAAGGAAAGGAAAGGAAAGGAAAGGAAAGGUGCUUAUGCUCCUAUCAUUA